UACAGGGGGUGCAAACGUUGCUCGGAAUCAUUGGGCGUAAAGCGUACGUAGGCGGUUCGUUAUGUCGGAUGUGAAAGCCCUUGGCUUAACCGAGGAAGUGCAUCCGAAACUGGCGAGCUAGAGUACGAAAGAGGAUCGCGGAAUUCCCGGUGUAGAGGUGAAAUUCGUAGAUAUCGGGAGGAACACCGGUGGCGAAGGCGGCGAUCUGGGUCGAUACUGACGCUGAGGCACGAAAGCGUGGGGAGCAAACAGG
rnacentral:rRNA from 1 species